UGUAUGAGAUGGUAAAGAAUCUGCCUGCAAUGCAGAAGACCCAGGUUCAAUCCCUGG
rnacentral:tRNA from 1 species